UCUAUAAUCGAUACUCCCCGAUAAACCUCACCACCUCUCGCCAACACAGCCUAUAUACCACCGUCCUCAGCUUACCCCCCAAAGGGAAAAUAGUAAGCAAGAUCANUUUUAAAUAAAAAAGUCAGGUCAAGGUGUAGCAAAUGAGGUGGAAAGAAAUGGGCUACAUUUUCUAUUAUAGAAUAUACAGAAUGCUUUAUGAAANUAUGGUAUGAAGGAGGAUUUAGAAGUNAAAAGGAAAAAAGAGUGUUCCUUUUAAAUCGGCAAUAGAACGCGCACACACCGCCCGUCACCCUCCUUNNAUAUAUCANNNAAAAAUUAAAUAAAUANUUAAUACAACAAGAGGAGAUAAGUNCGUAACAUGGUAAGCCUACCGGAAGGUGAGCUUGGAUAU
rnacentral:rRNA from 1 species